rnacentral:rRNA from 1 species
CGUUAAAGGUAAGUUCGGACGGGGCCCGCACAAGCGGCGGAGCAUGCGGAUUAAUUCGAUGCAACGCGAAGAACCUUACCAAGGCUUGACAUACACCGGUAACGCCCAGAGAUGGGUGCCCCUUUGUGGUCGGUGGACAGGUGGUGCAUGGUUGUCGUCAGCUCGUGUCGUGAGAUGUUGGGUUAAGUCCCGCAACGAGCGCAACCCUCGUCCUAUGUUGCCAGCGGGUCAUGCCGGGGACUCAUGGGAGACUGCCGGGGUCAACUCGGAGGAAGGUGGGGAUGACGUCAAAUCAUCAUGCCCCUUAUGUCUUGGGCUUCACGCAUGCUACAAUGGCCGGUACAAAGGGCUGCGAUACCGCGAGGUGGAGCGAAUCCCAGAAAGCCGGUCUCAGUUCGGAUUGGGGUCUGCAACUCGACCCCAUGAAGUUGGAAUCGCUAGUAAUCGCGGAUCAGCAUGCCGCGGUGAAUACGUUCCCGGGCCUU